UUAUAUUUCAAUCCUCUUUUAGAAUACUAAUCCAAAUUUAUUAACCAGGUGAUUUUUCACUCAAUCCCGAAGUUCGUAUUUCUCGGAUUGGUGUUGUGUGCAGAUUACUGGUGGUCAGCUUGCUAAAGCAUUGUAUUUAGGUGAAGGAACUGUUAUACCUUUAAGGAGGGAACACUUUUAGAAGGAACUGUCAAGAAAAUAUUUCUAUAUGGAGCCCAAGUGAGGAUAUGAGAAACUAACAGGAGGUAUAAUGACUUUCAAACUUACGUGUGUAAUUAUCUCCAUAAGUGUGGUUACAAGUUGAGCCUUUUCUUUGUUUUGUUUUUUGUUGAAGCUUUCCACGCCUUCUUUGUAUUCUUUUUCCUGUUUGUUGACAAAUAAGAUCAUGUUUAUUUUUCUUCUAAUUUUUUAGUGUGUGUGUGUGUGUGUGUGUAUAUAUAUAUGUAGUUUUCUCUCCACCUGCCAGUAUCAUUCUGGCAGUUUCCUUCUGUCUGAUAACUCUGAUUUUAUUUUUUUCCUGUUUGUGGUUUUUAGUCUUUGUCAUUUAAUUGGUGUAGCUUCGCUAGCAUCUCUGUUCCGGCAGUGUGUGAUUGGUGCUAAUGGAAUUUCAGCAUUGUUUCUGAGCUAUUAUUUUCGUCGUUGUUCUGUGAGUUAGUGCUAAUGGAUUUGCUGUGUUUGCAGUUUUCAGAAACUUGGAUCGUUGGAUGGAGCACUUGGCCCUUUGGCUUUUGAGGUAUAUUUGUUUACGGUGGUUUCAUGACUGUUGUUGCAUUUUUUGUUUUGCUUACGUCAGGACUGGAUUUGGCUAUGUAAUUGUGGCAUCAUUUGACUAUGUAUGACCAUGAUAACAGUGGAAUGUAUAAUUGCUAUGUCUUAAGUUGGUGUAAUGUUAAUGGUUUGCAGAUGCUUAGGAGACCAUCUAUUGCCAUCAAUAAAAUUGCCAUCGAUGAAAUUGGGGAAGAAAUUUCGAGAAAUAAUGUUAAUGGUUUGUAGAAUUAUUAUUAACAAGCUUUUGUUGCUCCCAUUGUUUGUUAAUUUUUAUUAACAAGUUUUAAGGCACAGACCCAUUGGUUAUUGAUGGUUAUUGGCGCAAGGCCAUUAUUGUUUCACCGCUGGUGAGAUUGUGUUGUUUCUUGAAGAUUUUUUGGGUAAGGUUCAUGCUGUGUGCAUUUUUUUUUUUUUUUUUUUUUUGUAUUUUUUGUGUUUCUUACAAUCAUAAAGUGGGUUGAGCUUGGUUCAUGAAAAAAAAAAAAAAAACAACAAAUUUAUUGACUUUUGGACGUGUUUCGCUUAAAAACAGCAAGUUGUGAUGUGUUUGCCGUUGUAAACAUGAUCGGGAACUUUGGCUUUCGAUGUGUUUCGCAUGAUAAAAACGGAAAAUAUAUUGAGCUUGAAAAUAAGGGUUUAGGUUUCACUGUUUUUCCAUGUAUAGAAUUUUACCCCUAUUUUUGGUUUCUUUAUGAUUUCAAUUAUCUUUCAGUAACCUAAUCCCUAAACUUAUUAAAUUCAUUGACCAUGUGGUUUUGGAUUCAAUCCUGAAGUUCCUAUUUCUCGGAUUGGUGUUGUGUGCUCCUUUCUGGUGGUCAGAUUGGUAAAUCAUUGCAUUUUACUAAAAGUAUUUGACGUGCCUAUGCGCCUUUCGUCUCUAAAAUGUUUGAAUAUAGUCGUCUUGGGAGUCUUAGGGGAGUCUUAGUGUGAUCGUUUUUCUAUUUCUUAGAUUCAAACUGUUUUUAAUUUCUCAUUUAAUUGGUGUAGCUUUGCUCAUUUAACUAGAAUUUAAUCAGAUUUGGUCCUCAAA